rnacentral:rRNA from 1 species
UCCAUCCUACGGGACGCAGCAGCGAGGAAUAUUGGUCAAUGGGAGAGAUCCUGAACCAGCCAAGCCGCGUGAGGGAAGACGGCCCUAUGGGUUGUAAACCUCUUUUGUCGGAGAACAAAACCCGGGACGUGUCCCGGACUGCGUGUAUCCGAAGAAAAAGCAUCGGCUAACUCCGUGCCAGCAGCCGCGGUAAUACGGAGGAUGCGAGCGUUAUCCGGAUUUAUUGGGUUUAAAGGGUGCGUAGGCGGUCCGUUAAGUCAGCGGUAAAAUUGCGGGGCUCCACCCUGUCGAGCCGUUGAAACUGG